CGUCUUCCUCUCGCCGCUCCAACCCCAGGACCCCCAGGUACGCGCGGCGCGCCUCCUCUUCCCCUCCGCUAGCUCCUCUCGAACUGGUUGCGCCGCUGCUUUCCCCAUUUGGUUGACCUCCGCGCGGCGGCUGACCAGCCUCCAACGCGUCAUGCCGGGGUUGUUUUUUUUUUUUUUGGUGGGGGUGGGGGUGGUGGGGGGGGGGGGUUGGGGGUGGCUUUUCGUUAUGUUUGUUAGCUCACUAGCCGUGUGAUUGGAUCAUUGGAAAUCUGUAAUAGCAGUGUGGUUAGCAUAUAUUUUCUGGGGGAUUUUGUGCCGGAGUCCGCCAUUCGGCUGUUGGUUGCGCGUCAAUGGGGAAAUCAGUACAUUGGCUAGUACUCCGGAAAAUUUGGCAUUGAAGAGAGUUUUGCGAAUUGGUUCUGGACUUCCCACGGGAACUACAAGUGAUUUCAUCAUGAUAUAGAGUAGUACCAGGAUGGCCGGAUGGGAUGGUUAACUCUACCAUGAAGUUGCCAACUGCUAGUAAAUUUAGGUGGUGUUUUCAGACAGUGAGGAGUUGGGGGGGAUUCGGAGAUCCACUAACUCAUAAAAAAACUCGACCGGCGGGGGAAUGACCGUCCCCGUGGCUUUUCAUUAAUAAGAACAGGCCUCAACCAAACUGGAUGAGAAAAGGCAUGAACCCUGCACCCCCCCCCUCCCCCCAACACCCCACACGCGGACUCGCCCCCUAUGGAUUGGUCCUUAACCUGUACUUUGAGGCUCCUUUCUUGUACACAAGGCCCGCUCUCCAUAGGUCGAUUCAUAACAUGUGUUUUUACGAGAGGCCAGCGAGUAACAUUUUUUUUAAGUAGGCCUAAAAUUCGCUCUCGAGGAAAGUCGAACCCAGGAUCUAGAGGUGCUACUUGAGCAUUGUGACCGCUAGACUACAUGCCCUUUCACAGGCCCACUUGCUCAUGCUAGAAGAGUCGUUGAACGCCUUCCUCCUUGGUUUGUGUCUUGGUUCUACUGUCUUGCUAAAAUCCCAGUGAUUUCACUGCUUCAAUGAACUAUUAAAGGAAAAUUAGAAGUUCGAAUAACAGAAUGGUGAAUUGGUUUAAAUCAAGGUUUGAGAUUUCGGAUUUGUGAGUGGGUCCCAGCAGAAAAUGUCUCUGGCCAAAAAUUCCAAGUUUGUAUUUAUUUAGCGAAAAGUUGUUCAAUUUGAAAAAAAAAAUCUGAAAAUUUCGUUUAACAGUUGCUUGCAUUCCAUUUAAUUUUUCAUUGUUAUGUGAUUUUGCAACAUCCAUACAAGAGUACUUAGACUCAACACCUUACAGAACGGCUCACUUCACCAGUAACUUAGGCUCACAACCAUGCACCCACAGCAUUAAGGAUACUUGCAACAAAAGCUCAUAAAAGAGACACAAAGCAUUAAAAGUUCGAGUAACAGAAUGGUCAAUUGGUUUGCCUCAAUUUUUGAAAUUUCGGAUUUACCAGUUGGUCCCAGCAGAAAAUGUCUCUGGCCCAAAAUUGCAAGUCUAUUUAUUUAGCGAAAAGUUGUUCAGUUUGAAAAAAAAAAUCUGAAAAUUUGUUUUUGCGGUUGCUUGCAUUCCGUUUAUUUUUUUCGUUCUGAAAUGUAAAAACCCUGGUUUACUAGACAUAGAUGAACGUGAUAGUUACUAACCAUUACUCCAGUAUACAGUCACUAAAUUAUUCAGAUAACACUAUUACCAUGCAUUAUACUAGACAUUCUAUGAGUAGCUGGCAGGAUCAUAUUCUUCCACAAGGUUUUGUAGAAAUGCCGGUAUUGGGGGCAACACGACAUCUCGAGUGCCCUGCAAGAUAUGAACUAUCUGCUGCAUUGUUGGUCUAUGAGCCUCGUUGUCCUGAAUGCACCAACAUGCAACCUUGCAUGCUCUCUCCAGCUCUUGAACAUUCGUGUCAUGCAUUCUAUGAUCAAAUACUUCAGAAAUGUCACCAUUGCUUAUCCUGACUGCAGCCCAGACAGGAAAGUACUUUAUAGUUUUACUCUCCAUCAAUUCUGUGUUCCUUUUGCCUGAAAUUAUCUCAAACAACAUCAUUCCAUAGCUGUAGACAUCUGCUUUUGACGUGAUGGGAAGACCUGCGAUCCAUUCCGGUGCAAGAUAUCCUAUUGUUCCUCUCAUAGUUGUUAGUGCCCGACUAAAAUUCCGAUCCAUAAGCUUAGCAAGACCGAAAUCUGCCACUUUUGGGCUGAAGUCCGCAUCAACAAGUACAUUUUCUGGUUUUAUAUCACAAUGUAUGAUGCAUUCAUGGCAUUCCUCAUGGAGAUAAUGUAAUCCUUUUGCAACACCUAGAAUAACUUGGAAUCUUGUGUACCAGUCCAACACCUUCACAUUAUUAAAAAGGUGACAAUCUAGAGAACCAUUUGUUGGCAACUUUUUUGACAAGUCGACGAGCACGAUCGCAACACCUAAACGCCUUGCGGUGAUAUGGAGUCGCCAACCACCUCGAUCUAGCCAAAGGGCCAAAUUAAGAUGGGUUUCGGAGAAAAACAACUAAGGCCCUCUUUGUUUAGGCUUAUAAGCCAACUUAUAAGUCGAAAAGUCUAAGCCAAAACAAACAAGCAGCUUUUUCAUUUGGCUUUUUUAAGCCAUAAGCCACUCUAACACUAUUAAGCCAAAAGCUAGGUUGGAGAAGCUUUUUUUGGCUUAUAUGAGAUAGAUGUAUGACUCUACCAUUAAACUUAGGACAUUAAAUCCACUGGCUUAUAAAUCAUAUAAGCCAAUAAGCUGACUUAAAAGUCUAGGCCAAUAAGCCUAAGCCUAAACAAAGAGGGCCUAAACCGGCUAGCGGAGCCGAUUUAGAGAUCAAAAUCAGCCUCUAGGCCGAUUUAGAUCGAUAUGAGGAUAACUACCCGUCUCGUGGGCAAAACGGAAGGUUUUCAGGACAAACCUACAAAGAGGUGUCGCACUCUCGCAGCGGCGGCGGACGGUUUACAGCGCAAACCGACAAAGAUGGACUAAACUAGGGUAAAAUAGAAAACAUAGUAAAAGAACGAUUCAAGUAAAUUGUAUUCGGGGGUUUUACAAUGAACCGGCGGCCUUGUCCCUUAAAUAGGGGGUUGGUCUUGCCCUCUACAGGCCCUUCUCCACGUCCAACUCGGGAUAGAAACUAAAGGAAACACGAAACAUGCCUUCCCGAGCAAGGAAACCUGAGACCCGACGAAAACAGACUCGGACUCGGACCCUGCCGGUCUGACCGCCUACAUACCUGCGGUCAGACCGGCCCUACUAGCCGGUCAGACCGCCCACACACCUGUAGUCUGACCGCCCUGUGAAGGAAACCUGUCACUUUCCAAACUUUGGCAAUCUUCCCCUAUUUCGUCCAUAGGUGCCAAAUUUGGGUGUAAACACAUGCCCCCCUGCCUUUUUGGUGAACAUACGUGAACCUAAAAGCAUAGAACAUGUUAUCUCAGGGCGAUAAUCCAAUUACUGGCCAUAGGACUUCCUAAGCAUCUUGCCAAAUGCUCGGGAAGCAUUUCUUCAAGUAUUUCCCAUUAAUUGAUAUCUGAAAACACCAUCUUGAAGUGUCUUCAUCUCCUUCAAAGUCUUCAAACGCUCGUCGAUGACAUCUUCAAAAAUUGCUUCCCAUCAAGGUCUUAUAAUCUUCAACCGACAAGUCGUCUUGCUUGAAAUACCGAAGAGAGCCAAGAUUUACCUCAACUGGCAAAACGGCAAUUUCAACAAUGUUUUAUUACUCGACUCGGCUUAUCCAUUAACCUGAGUGUAAGAACUCAACAACUUAAUAUCAUAAGAUUCGGCAAUACUUCUCACUUCCUUGGACAUAAAAGAAGCUCCUUUAACGUUUGAGGAAUACCGAAUCUAUGAACAAUAUGCUUCAAAAUAGAGUCAAUUACCUCCGUACAAGUAAUAUUCUCGAGCGGCACGGCUUCGGCCCACUUAGUAAGUAAUCCAUUGCAACUAGCACGAACCAAUGCUCUUUUGAUGACGAAGAAUAAAUUUGACCAAUGAAAUCCAAAGCCCAACCUCGGAACGGCCAUAGUUUAAUGAUAGGAUUCAACACAACGGUAGGCGCUAGUUGAACAUUGCCAAUCCGUUAACAAGCUUCACUCCCUCUAUAGCAUUUGAAACAAUCAUCAAUUAUUUUCGGCCAAUGAAACCCCACUCUCCUAAGCAACCAAUUUAUCUUACGGGCCGAUUGAUGAAUUUCACAAAUCCCUUCAUGUACUACUCUCCUAGCAACUUCAGAUUGAUCAUUAUCUAAGUAAUACUCCAUCUAUUUUUCGGUGAUAUAAUAUUUGAACGCUUGCCGCCGAAUCUUCCGAUCAACCUUAAGUGUAGGAUCUUUCAAAUAUCUAAUCAAAGGAAUUCUCCAAGCUAUUUCUAACUCAUGGGCACAAAUGUUCGAAUUCACAAUUAAUUUGGCCUUUUAAUCAAUUGUAACGUGCCCCCCAGCCUCCUGUCUGGGAUCGGUCAGACCGGCCACGCAAUGCCGGUCAGACCACCCUGUCUGCCCGGUCAGACCGGCUAUGCAGAGCCGGUCAGACCGCCGGUACCACCGGUCAGACCGGCCGUGCAAUGCCGGUCAGACCGCCCUUGGUCUAUGACUUUGCCAAUUUCGUCCAAACUUUUAAAAUCAAGCAUCGGCCUUUAGUAUAUAAUUUUUCUUCACAUAAUAGCCAGAUGCUUGGUGUAUCAAAUUAUUGGACCAAAAUUCCUCCUCUCUAGACAUAUGAAAAACUAUAACAUCCAACUAACAUGUCUAGAUGAAUACUAAUUCAAAUGGCUUUUGAAACAAUAAUCAUCAUGGCAUCAAAACACUUAGCCAAUUGAAUAAUGAAUCACCAAAGUCAUAUGCCUCACACACAUGAAUUCCAAUAAACUACAAAUGUAAGUAAUCGGCUUGAGCAUGUAUGCAAAAUAUUAAUAAUGCCAAUGUUUCUAAAGAAAACAACUCUAGAAUAAAUCAUCACAUUGACCAUUGACAUUAGCCGAAUUACUAAUAAGCAAAACUUUCAUGGUGCAAUAAUUAUAAAAUCUAUAUCUUAUAUGGUGAUCCAUAAAAACACAUACAAUUUGGCUUUAAAUAAAUAUCAAAGACUCGUGAACCAAAUCAUACUUAAAACAAAUUAUAUGCCAACCUACCAAUUCCACUACUUAGAACUGGCAUUUGCAACAUGUAUGUAUAAUAUCAAUUUGAUAAGCAAACAACACACAUGUGCUAGAUAGUAAGCAAUGUUCUAACAUGGCAUAGGCAUAUAAUAUAAUGUUAAACACAAAAAAACCCAUACCUUGCCUUAGCAUCCGACAAACGGCGGCUCAAAGAUGUGAUGUUGUAUCCAUCGCCGUUCAUCUCUCUUGAUUUCUUCAUAAGCAUAUUAAUGUCUUGCCCCCCGAGCAAAAUCGGCUUUCUUGAUUGCACGAUUUCAAAGGCAAGACGAACACCGCACCAACAUCCAUAGCAUCAUGUGAAGGAGACUUAUCUCUAAUGACCGAUGAUUCUUCUCUCAUCAUAUUGGAUUUAUCACUACUUUGGGAAAUCACCGAUCUCUUACCUUUUACUUCUUUAGGUCUCCACACUCGCUUAGGUGUCGUUCGAGGCUCUAAAUUAUUACAUGUUUUGUUCUCCACAUCUUCGGCCUCCUUUUCUUUUUGACCUAUGGCCCGAAGACGCUGAAGCCUCCUCUUUUGAGAGCGAGAUAAGCCGGAAGGUAUCCACUUCAGCUGUGGUUGUUUUCCAGGAGCCAAAUGAUGAUUCUUCAUAUUUUUGGUCGAAGUGGAAGCUCCUGUGUUGCUCUCAAUUUUCUCACUCUUCUCUAAUGCCCCCCGGUCAGACCGGCCUCUAGGCCCGGUCAGACCGGCUACAAACCGUCGAUCAGACCGGCCAGGAAGGUCGGUCAGACCGGCCGUUGUCUGGCGGUUAGACCGGCUAGCUGUUUUGGUCAAGCCGCCGAUGUUGACAGUAACGGCGUCGGCUUCAGUCUUCUCCGCUUGUAUAGUUUUCGGCGCAUCUCCAGUAGGUACAUGAACAUCUUAAGAUUCCUCAUUGAUAGCAACGACCUCCGGAGCUUUGGCUUCUUUCCUCACCCACACCUUCACCUUUUUCACCUUUGAUCCACCGGACCGAUUCUUUUGUGGGAAACGGUCUUGUCUUGAGUUAGAUGAAUGACUUGAUGUUGACCUAGGUGAUUCCUUCCACUCUUGGUAAUACGGCAUAGGUGGUUGAUGCAUCCAAGGCAUGUAAUACAUAAAAGGAUAACCAUAUAGUGACAUUGGAUAUGGAUACCAUGGCAUCACAACCGGAGGUUUGUAUGGAGUUGGUAUAGUUGAUGGCUCCGAUUGCUUUGGUAUUUGACCAAAUCUCUUCCUACAAGAUGAUCUUGGUCUUUUUGAAUCACUAGUUUGAUUAUCAAGUCGUUGACCGGCUAAUCCUUUAUUGUACUUAGCCAUAAGCAUCUCAAAAGUGAGCUUCGGCUUUUUGGUCCUUUGGAAACUAGAUGACUCAUCCUUUGCAUCUUUAUGAUCUUCGGCCUUCGCAUUUUUGAUCCUAUUCUUGGGCCGAGGAUCCCCAAUAAUAACACGUCUCCCUUUCUUUUUGUCAACAUCAAUAGGACUAACAGAGAGAGGAUCACUAACAACUCCGGUCUUAGGCAUAGAUGUAACCGAAAUAAUUUCACAAGUGACCGAUGAAUCAUCAACCGGUCUUUUCUCCAUCAAGUUUGCAUCUUUAAAAUAAUCAUGAAACUCAUGCUUCAUUUGUGACCAUGUAGAAAUUGAACUAGGAGCAAGCAAACUAUACCAUGUAGAUGCAAAGUUUGACAAAGAAAGAGAAAACAACUUUAACUUACGCAAAUCAUCGCUACCGGCCUUACCGCAUUGAUCAAUAAAGCGGUCGAUAUGCUCCAUUGUAGUCAUAGCAUUCUCACCUGUGAAUUUCGUGAAGUUGGGCACCUCAAAUCCUUGCGGGUAUGGAACUGAAUCUACAUGUUCAGGAUACGGCCUUUGAUAUAUAUGCAUGGCUACUUUGGAUUCUAUUUCACUACUAUCCCGCAAGACAUUGUCAUCAUCUUUUCCAACAUCUACAUGACCGAUUUGUGACUCGGUCUUAGGUGACAAUGCUAUUUCACUUUCGCUUGUAAUACAAUCCGAACCGUCAUUUAGUUCGGCUAUAUCUUCAAUGAUGCUAUUCUCUAAGCUAGCAAUACAAUCCGAACCACCACUUGGUUCGGCUAUUCCAUCGUUGUCUAAACUAGUAACACAAUCCGAACCAACACUUGGUUCAGCUAUAAUGGUUGUUGCAUUAUUUUCCAAGCUAGCAAGACAAUCUGAACCAACAUUUGGUUCGGCUAUAAUCGUUAUGGCAUCAUUGCACAAAUCAUUAACACAAUCCGAACCAUCGCUUGGUUCGGCUAUACAUGAUAUUGCAUUAUCAUCUAAACUAGCAUUUAAGCUAUUGUCAUCCACUCGGCUUUCCUGAGCCGGAGCUUCAUGCAACACAUGAUCAACAUCAAGAAAUAUCUGGCCAUUCAACCUCUCUUUAAUAGAAUCAAGCAAUCCAUCAUAUGCAAUGUCGGCCAAAUCUUUGUCAGUUAUUUUCAAGCUAUAACAUCGGUUUUUAACAUCUCUAAACCUUUCAAUAUAAUCAGCAACAGAUUCAUUGUAUUUGUGCCUAACCGAUGUUAAAUCAGACAACCUAAGCUCAGUCUCACUAGUGUGGAAAUAAUCAUGAAAUUUUUGUUCUAAUUGAGCCCAGGAAAAAAUAGAAUUUACCGGUAAAGAAGUAAACCAUGUAAAAGCAGUACCGGACAAAGAUAAAGAAAACAAGCGCAAUUUAAAAGUAUCACUAUUAGCCUCUCCACAUUGCGCUAAAAAUUGACCUACAUGCUCCCAUGUGGUCCUACUAUCCUCACCACUAAAUUUGGUAAAUUUGGGAACUCUAUAACCACGAGGAUAUGGCACAUUAUCAUAAUAAUUAGGAUACGGCUUUUGGUAAACCUUAGCACGAUUCCUAGUUUCAAUCCCAAAUUUAUCCCUAAUAAUCUCACUAAUUAUCUCCUCCAUAUUAUCAGGCCUAUGUUGAAUUGGUGGUGGAUUUGGUGGCCUAAUAGGUUGUGUUUGUGGCGCAAUAUGAUUAUAUUGGCCUUGCCUAGUAUCGUGAGAAUAUCCUCUAGCAACAUCAUUAUAAGUAUUAGGAACAUGCGGGGGAACUUGGGGAUUAGUUGUAGCAGUAGAUACAGGAGGAUCAAAUGUUCUAAGAUGAUACAAAUAACUAGCAUUAGUCAUUGGAUCUAUCCCCUGAAUCGGUAUGAUUGUGCCGGUCUGACCGGUCCAGGGCUCGGUUUGACCGACAUCCAGAGGCGCGGUCAGACCGGCCUGAGUCCCGGUCUGACUGCCGGGGUAAUAUCCAGUCGGACCGGCCGUUUGGCCGGUCGGACCGACGGUGAAAUCGCGGUCUGACCGGCCAUCAGGUUCGGUCGGACCGGCUAUAUGCGCUGCUCCAUCGGUUCCACUACUUGUUUGAUCUAUAGGAGCUUGACUAGCAGUGGUAGAGGCUUUAUUUUUAAACAUGUAAUCGGCCAUAAGAGGGCCGAAUUUAAAUCUUAAAAACUCAUCAAAUUUACCCUCAAAAGUUGCAUCUAACUUAUCUUUAAAAACAGUCAUGGAUGAAUCUAUUGUAGAUGCUACUUCUUGUUGGAUAGAUUGUGUUACCUUCGGUGAAACUGCAACUUGAGGUAGCGGCACGUUUCCUUUCAUGACGUCUUGAUCGGUCUUGAUGUAUUGUGUAGCAAUAUUGUUGAACCGUUCCCGCUCGUCAUAGUUAAUGAAGAAAUUCCUUGAUUAAAUCCGGCCAUAUAGCUCAUAGCCGAAAUAUUUGACCGAAUAAAUUAAUACACGGUCUUGGAAUUUUUUCUCUCGCGAUGAGCAAUGUGUGCACUAAUUAAUUCCACCAAAAUCAACAGAUAAACUUUGCUUUGUCUCUCUGUAGAUCGGCUCUGGUAUAGCCUGAUCUUUUUGAUCUAUGCACGUAUACAGUAAUAAAAGGAAACAAUGCUCCUGCUGCUUGUCUCUCGGCAGAUCGGCUCUAGUAGCCUGAUCUUUUCCUCUGUUGCCAUGUGAAACAAAAGGAAAGGAGGUUGCCGAGUCAGCUACUGCUCCCUGAUGAUGAUCUUCAGUACACACGGCAAGUGUUCAGAUGGAUUCGGUGACGACCAAAUAACCUCGCCGCCGAUUAGAUUAAUCCGGCGAUACUAGAUUAAUUUCGGCCGUUUAGCCGAAACUUGGAUUUGACGAAACGGUAGCUACUAGAUUAAACGAAAUUCGGCCGUGAUAUGGCCGAUUAGAUCGUUCCCCAGUGGAGUCGCCAAAAAUCGUGUUGGCAACUUUUUUGACAAGUCGACAAGCACGAUCGCAACACCUAAACGCCUUGCGGUGAUAUGGAGUCGCCAACCACCUCGAUCUAGCCAAAGGCCAAAUUAAGAUGGGUUUCGGAGAAAAACAACUAAACCGGCUAGCGGAGCCGAUUUAGAGAUCAAAAUCAGCCUCUAGGCCGAUUUAGAUCGAUAUGAGGAUAACUACCCGUCUCGUGGGCAAAACGGAAGGUUUUCAGGACAAACCUACAAAGAGGUGUCGCACUCUCGCAGCGGCGGCGGACGGUUUACAGCGCAAACCGACAAAGAUGGACUAAACUAGGGUAAAAUAGAAAACAUAGUAAAAGAACGAUUCAAGUAAGUUGUAUUCGGGGGUUUUACAAUGAACCGGCGGCCUUGUCCCUUAAAUAGGGGGUUGGUCUUGCCCUCUACAGGCCCUUCUCCACGUCCAACUCAGGAUAGAAACUAAAGGAAACAUGAAACAUGCCUUCCCGAGCAAGGAAACCCGAGACCCGACGAAAACAGACUUGGACUCGGACCCUGCCUGUCAGACCGCCCAUAUACCUGCGGUCAGACCGGUCCUACUAGCUGGUCAGACCGCCCACACACCUGUGGUCUGACCGGCCCUGUGAAGGAAAUCUGUCACUUUCCAAACUUUGGCAAUCUUCCCCUAUUUCGUCCAUAGGUGCUAAAUUUGGGUGUAAACACCAUUUACCAUAAAUUUAUAUACCAGAAGCCUUUCAGCUCCUCAAGCAAAACCCCUCGAGGCAAACCAGAUUUGUGUGGUGAAUUCGUCCUAAGGCCCUCACCUCAGUUUGAAAUUGCUUCUCGCGUUGCCUCAUUCCUUGAAGCUUCUUUACAGCUAUCAUUUGAGAGUUUGGGAGUGAUCCUUUGUACACUGAACCAAAACUACCUUGCCCCAACUUAUCUGAGAAAUUCUUUGUGCAGUGCUGUAAAAAAGAGUAACUGUAUAGGAUGAGAGAAUCAUCAUUGGAGAAAGCCUUUUGAGUUGCAUUCCUUUUUCGAAACGUCCAAAUUAUUGCACCAAAAGCACAUAGUGCAACAAAGGUACUUCCCAGCACUGCAAUUAGCCUCAUAUGAUGUGUCUUAUGUUCAUUGUAUUGAACUUGAAGAUCAGAUGCUGCAAGACGUACAUAAAUAUCAAUAGCAUCAACAUUACCAGCAGACAAUUGUUUAAGAUCCCGGAGCUCACUAUUCCAAACAAUGCAUUCAUGUUGAUGUGCAUAUGCAGUACAAAUGCAGUUGUUCAGGCAUAUGGAUCUGCACUCCUCCUCGCUUUGAACAUUCAAUUGCAUUGGAUUGCCUGGAACUUUGAUGUUGGCAAUCUUGAGAAAUGCAUGCUUCUCUUGUUGGCCAUUAUGUUUAUUAGAGUCAACACAAGAGAUAUCUGUUUUCCUAACACAACCUUGAUUCCAUGCUCCAAGAUCCCAGCUCCUCGAGGAAACUGGCCUGAAACCUGGCAGGCAAUAGCAUUUCUCAUCAAAACCUGUUUUGCAGACUCCAAAAGGCCCACAGACUGAAUAAACAGCACACAGAGCUGCAGGUAGAGACCAUUGUACUAUCCAUUCCUCUGAUUUGUUGGACCAUGUAUGGCAUUGGAGUUGACCGUUAACGGUAAGAACUAUUCUUGUGAUUAUGGAUACAUCCUUUGUGGUGUAUAUAAACUUGAGCUGGUGACUAUUAUUAAUGAAAACAUAAUUGUAUUCAGUAUUUAGUGGCAUUCCAGGGAUCGAUGUGAAUGCUUGUCCUGUCCAGUUCCCAGACUGCCAAUAAACUUUAGAUUGAUUCCAGAGAGAGACAUAUUGGUUCAAUCUAAUUAGAUCUACAUGGUUGGAGAAAGGACCUGGUGCAGGAUCUUCUGGAUCUUUCCAAGAAACACGAUCCUGGUAUUCACCGGUGAUCUUAUUGAUCCCAAAUCUCUGCCCACUCAGUAUUGUGUCUGUUGGGUGAUCAAAGCUUUGCCAGAUUACAUCAGAAGAGUUACCUUGAUCCCUCAGAAUAAGGUUUCCAUUGUCAAGAAGAACUGCAACUAUUGACUUUCUUGGUUUAUUCCAAGUACCAUUUGAUGACCAUUUUGGUUCUCCAAACUUGUUAAGGAGGACUAAAUUUCCAUCCUCUGAUAUCUUGAGCUCUGGAGAUGUAGCACUUGUGACAGGAUUGUCUCGGUUGGCCACCCAGAUAACAGCCUUCUUUGAUGUGGUUCUGAACCAUAUACCAACAUAAAGGUUUCCAGUAUUACCUGGAGAGAAGAAUCCCAGCUCAAAAUUUCCUUCUUUUGAGACAACAGUUGUACUACCAGAAAGAGAUUGGACUCUUGAGAUUGUAUCAGUCAAAGCAGAAGUACUUGUGUAAAGAUGGAAGAUUGAUAAUAUGAGAAAAGAAAAGGAAGAACAUAUCUUCCACUUGCUGGGAGGGGCCAUCCUUUUUGCAUGGAAAUUUGGAUGUGUGGUAUUCUUCUAGUUAAUGCAAAUGCCACAAGGUAGAGAGUUAUUUCUUCCCUCUAUUGUCAUCCUUCUCAUUUGACUUGUCUUCCAAAAUAAUAUUCUUUUUAUGUUGUUAGUCUAGUUUCCUGUGAAUUGACGGAUGCUAUUGUGCCAUCUGGAACAAGCACAACCAUGUGUGAGCACUUGAUAAGAGUUAGACACGACUUGUUCACAAAUAAGUCCAGACACAGAAUGUGAAACGGACAUCCUCUUUUUUUUGACUAAAGAACGGACACCCUCUUUCAAACUCUGAAUUCUUCUCCUAGUUGCUUCUGUUUUACUGCUGUUCUGGUGAUUCAAACCAAAUAAUGUCUUCUUUUAAGCAUCAUAUAUAGCGAUAUAACUCACCUUUAGUAAGUUAUAUAUCAUAUUUGUCCUAGUAGUAAUAUGUUCUUCAAUUGCAACGCUGUUUUGGCCAUUGAAGCAUCAGAUGUUUUUGGUGGUUCAUCUUGUUAUUCAAGUGUAAAAGGCAGAAGCAUGAUAAAGCUGUGCAUCCCCAGGAGCAUAGAUGGUUUAUUUGGCAAUCACUUUUUUUUUCUUUUCAUGUAAUUGCAUAAAAUCUGCUGUGCAUCAUGCUGUAGUUUCGAUUUCAGUUUUACAUCUUUCUUAAUAUUGUUUUUCAUGUGAUUAUGCAUCUGUAGUCAUCAGUCAGUACACCGGCACAGGCUAGUAUUUUUAUUGUGAUUUUGGAACAUCAUUAUUUAUAUUUAUGAAUAUUUUAAUUUGAUAUAUUGAGAAAACUCUAUCUAAACAACAAGAAAAUUCCUUGCCAGCACUUUUUUAAAUCUUCUGAGAAUACAGUACACUUAUAUUUUUCCUCUUUGCCAACGAAGUUAUUACUUUGGGUGUGGAUACUUUUGUAAUUUGUUGCAGCAUGAUGCUUAUAUUUAGUAUGGAAGUUUAGUUUUUAAACUCUGGAAAUUAAAACCUAAUAAAUCUUUUUUUUCAUGGUUACUUACAGCCUAAGAACAUUUUUAAGACAAGAUUAGUAUGUAAGCUAGCUACAUAUUCCUCUAGGUAUGCUUUAGUUGUAUGCCUUAAUUCAUACUGAUUGGGCAGAUAGUGUAAAUCAACUUGAUUAGAACAUGGGAAUCGAAAAUAAAUCUAAUUAUUCUGUGUAUAUUUAUAUGUUCAGACCUUGUAUACAUAGAGUUACUAUGAACUGAACUUUGAUUUGUUUUUCCAGGCCAUGUGCGCCCAGGAAACAGAUUCAUGGAUGCCUUCUGGUUCUUAUCUUCAUAUUGUGUGCAAUGCAUGGAACGCAUGCUUCUGAGUUUUGACUAUUACUUUAAAAACUACUACUACUCUGAUACUUAUUAUCUAUUGCAUGUAGGGUGUAGAUGAAAACAUUAAAUCAAAUUUGACGGUCAUGGUUUCCUUUUUUAAAGAUUAAUGUGCUCAUGUUUAGCCAUUUUUUUAUUAUUGUGUGAAUUUAUUUAUUUUAGAAUUUUUAAGAUUAAUGUGAGGGCUUCUUAUUAGUAUAAACAAAGCUUCAGCCGGGAUUCUUCUACUGGCCUGCCAAAAAACUAUUUUGUAAAUUUACAGGAUAACAAUGGUGUAAUUACUCAGAUGAUGGCAUUUGGCCCUUAAGAAUUUGAAAAAUAUUUAACCAGUGCAGAUGUUAAAGAAAAUAUAGCUACUCCCUCCGUCCUAAAAUAUAAGCAUUUUUUGAACCUUGACAUGGUCUCCGAGAUACUACUUUGACCAACAAUAUCUAUAAAAAUAAGAUGUUUUAAAUAAAA
rnacentral:lncRNA from 1 species